AAUGGAAAAUUGAAACCCUAAUCUUCACCCAAUAGUGUUUUGCCAUAUUUUUCUAUUAUCCAAUAAAAUUUUGACACACCUAGGUUUCCAUUGAUUCUAGGUUUACAUGUUUACAUGGCUUACUAGAAGGUUUGAUGUCUAUGAUACUGAUAAAGUGACAAAUGGUAAACUAGAAACAUGCAUUGGGGCCAGAAGGAUAUAUAUUUCUUUUUUCUCAAUUUUUUUUUCAUUUGAGAAGUUUCUUUCUCUCUCUUCUCUCUUUCUCAUACGCGCUCUCUCUCUCUCUUUUCUCACCAUUGUUCAUGAUGAACAACAAGAACACCAUGCAUGUUCAUCCCCAUACCCAGAUUCCGGCGAGCAACCACCGUCGCCGGAAAGUCCAAUCACUUCCAUCUCUUUUUUCCCUCAACCGUUCUUAAUAUCUCCCUGCCCUCACCAUCUCGUCCUUCACCACCGCAUCCACCACAACCUCCACCGCCACCUACAAAUCAAUCUCCGAAUCAGAACGUCCUAUCUGCUUCCGGUGAUGCCGCCGUCAUCAGAAUCACGUUAUUCUUCCUCUCAGGUCUGAAUUGUGCAGAGGCAGUCAAUUUUGCUCCAGCUGACUGGCUACCACACGGUUCAUUUGGAGCUGAUCUCUAUAAGCAGUUUCACAAAACAACUGUCUUGUCUCAUGAGGAGCUUCUUUGUGUAGUAGCCCAGGGUUGGAGAAGUGAGAUGGAGAGGAACUGGAUUGGUUGUCCAACAAUGAUACUUAGUUCUAAGGAUCCGAGACUGUAUCUUCACUUGGCGCCGGAAUUUGCUCACUACAAGGGAAAUCACACUUAUGUGCAUGCGACAAGAAAAGGAUAUUGGCAGUUUGAUAUGGGAGAUGUAAUUAUUGAUGGUAAAUCCACCGGAUAUAUUGUGUUGAUGGCUGUGCGGCCAUUGCUGACUCGGGGACUUAUUUGUUGGCGGUUCGAAUGGUAUGAAUAAAUGGCCUGUAGAUAUAGAUCGAUAUUUAGCUUUUUCUUUUUCUUUUUUUUUUGACAGUGGAGUUUGAUAGAUUGUUAGAUUUGCCACUGAUGAAAAUUGGAAAGGAACUGUUAGAUGGGAUAAUGACUACUCCUUUCUAUUUCACUUUAAAUUGUUUUCAAUUUUAACAUGUUAUACUAUAUGCAGCACUAUGAUUGGUUCUUUAAUGAUACAGUGUAUCUUUGUUGGGGGCUUCAAAAAUUGAAAAUUUGUAUUCUAUUGUUCAAUUCCAACUCACCAAGUUUGCGAAAUCCAAACCAUUUGCAAUUGUUUGCAAUUGUAAAAUUUUCGAUUUUCAGUAACUGUGUUUUGUGUAAUGGUACAGAACAAACGUGAACCAAAAGACUUGUGGCAGGAACCUUUGGUCCCUGCUUCUUCUUGGACACCAUGUUUUGAUCAGCAAAGUUGGGAACCUAAUGGUAUGUGUGUCUGAACUUUGAAAUUUGACGAUUAUUAUCAUGAUUCAUGUCUGUGCAUAACUACAAUUACAAAUAAAGAAAGGCUUAUUGGUCCAUUAUGAGUACUCACAGUUUGCUUUCUUCUAUUGCACUACUUCAAUAGAGGGAAGUAAUGGAUACAUUUUGGUUACUGCAAAUGGUGGGAUCAACCAACAACGGGUAGUUGUAAGUGGUCUUUGUCUGACUGAUAUUUUUUACGAUGACGGUUUAGAAUUAUUUAGGAUUAAUUUAUUUGAAAGGGAAAAAACAUAACAAGUUUUGUCUUGAAUGAUUUUAGUGUCAUUUGUGCUGAUUAUGAGUUGCAACAGGUUUGUAAUGCUAUCGUUGUUGGUUGCAGGUAGUACUAAGUUGAAAGUUGAAACUAAUCUUUAAGAAUAUGUCAUGGCAGCCAUGGUUCUCAAAUAACAGGUUCACUUCUAAGUAAUUUGCUAGAUGUGGUUGAGGAGGUUCAGUUAGCUCGGGUAGAGAUUAGAAAUUUUGUCCAUGCUAAGUUCAUUUCUCAUUCAGUUUCUUUUUAUGAAUGGCUUUGCAACUAUUGAGAAAUCGCGCCACAUCGUCGACAUUCAAUUUGUUCUCCAAUGCUAUUCGCCGUUUCUCUUCUGGUAUUUUCAUUUCUCUUCUUUGCCACAUUAUUCAUUCCCUCAAUUCUAACAUUUAGAUUGUAAUAUGUGUAUUUAAGAUAAGGUAAUUACACAUGAAUGAAAGAGAAACGAGUAAGGGAACAGACUGUGCCCAUAACCCUUUUUGGAUGACAAAACCAACCCUCUUAGAAACAUUUAGAUCAAUAUUCAUGGUAUCUUGUAGUAUUGGGGGAAAGGAAAUUAGGCAGCUUUGAUGUUUACUUUAAGUUAUGGUUCCUCAUUAAUGUUUUAAAACCCGAACCGGACAUAGAACCGGUGAGACUGAGACCUCUGGGUCAUGGUUCACAUGAGUUUCACCCAAUUAGAGAAUGAAUGCUAGAGAGUGUUGCUAGCACUCCUCUUAGGUCAUUGCGUCUGACUAUGCUGCUUUGUUUAUGUCAUUGUUUUGGCUUUGUAGCUGAGGUUUCUAACGGAAUUCCCGAAGAGGCACGUGAGAGAAUGUUGUAUUCUGACAUAAACUCACAGAUUGGUAGUUGCAUGCCUCUCUCUUCAAUGCGAAUUGGAACAAUCAUUCACAACAUUGAGCUGAACCCGGGGCAAAGUGGAAAGCUUGUCCGAGCGGCCGGAACCAAUGCAAAGAUCUUGAAAGAGCCCACGUCACAGUACUGUUUAAUGACACACACACACUGACAUACAUGUCUAAUCCAAGAAGUGUCUGUACCUCAUAGUGUAUAGUCAAGUUUGAAGACGUCUGAACUACUCCUCACACUUACCACUUUCUUUUUACCAUCCAACCCUUCUACUAUUAUAUUUAUAUAUAUAUUCAUAGAUAUAAGACUUGAAAUUGAAGGUCAAACAUAAUAUUAGCAAUACAAAAUAUCAAAGUUCACACUUACUUGAGUUAAUUCCUUUAACUCAGCAGCCAUGGAUUGGUUCUCAUGGCUUUCAAAAACCAAUCUUGAGCCAUCACUUGUAUAUGAGUAUGGUCUUAUCUUUGCACAAAAUGAGCUUGAAGAAAAAGACAUGAAUUACUUCAACCAUGAGUUUCUCCAAAGCAUGGGAAUCUCCAUAGCUAAACACAGACACGAGAUUUAUGAUAUUUGAUGUCCCCUCUCUCUAUUACUUUCUAUGGUGUUUGUCAUAUUAUCUCCAUCAUAUAUUAGGAGGAGAAAGUUGCAUUAGGAGACUAUCCUACUAAGUUUGUUUGUUGAAUUGCUCUCCCGGACAUUUUUAACACAUUCAUUUUUUUGAAGGGCGAGUAACGAGAAAGAAGUUGGAAAGUUGUUAUUAACUAUUGUUGAGAGAAUGUAGCAAGAUUAGCAAUGCCAUGAUGAAGGAGUGACUUGCAAUGUUUUCCCUUAGCAUUCUGAUUUACAAGGAAUGGAGGAUGUAAAACCCAAAGCAAAUCAUUUUCUUCACACGAUGGAGUGGAGCUGUGUAUGAAAAAGAAAAGUUAAAAAAAAAAAUUUCAUAUACCUUUUCUUUUGUAGAAGCUUUUCAUAUAUAUUUUAAUAUUAAAAUUUUUCUACUGUAUUUAUUUUCUUCAUUAUAGAAGAAGGCCAUGUAUUUUCAAGGAUGGACGUUUAAGUCAAACCAGUUCUCUAAGCUAGCAUUUGAAAAUAAAUUAUCAGUUGAAGAGAAUUAUAUUAUCCGACUAAUUUGUAAUUUGGAGAUAGUUUGUAUCAGAAAAUCGAUUACUUAUUUGUACAUUUCGUUUUGAUUAUGUAAUUGGAUAUCUUAUAAUACUUAAAUUGGGUUCAGAAUAUUGUUAAUA